CAGAAGCCAUUGCUUCGAAUCCCAGCCGUCUCUCACUUCUUCCGUUCAACCCUCCCCAUGCAGGGUCUGCAGCUUCAAUGUCCUCCUGUUGCUCCACCUCCUCUUCCUCUUGCUUUGAGGAGGACGGCAUCCAAUUACCAUGCUUUUGUUUCAUUCGCAUCUAUUCGAAACUCAGCCCUGCCGGUGCCUCGUACUUGGAUUAAAUCCACCACCCGCCGUUCUCUGUAUGUCAUCGUGGUCGUGGUGUUCUAACUACCCUCAGUUCAGGAAGCUCUUGUCUACCUUGUGACUCAGGGAACUCCUCCCCGUCUGGUGAAACCGAGCUGGAUCGGACAACUAAGAUUUACGAAUUUUUAUUGCCAAAAUUGGA